GUCACGGCCGACGCUGGUCAAAGUGUAGCACCUGCUCUUAUCAGCUUAAUAUCCGAUACGGGUAGUAUUUGGACCUAAGAUAACAAACUUAUUUUUGCAAGUUGGCGGGGAGCUUAAAGCCUGCAUCACCUCUGCCGCGGGUCGGUCCGGUAUUGUACUAUCUUCUGGAUCGGCUGUUAAGAA